GGUGCGCUGCUUAACCUGCAGUCGACGAUGAAGCCCAGCUUGCUGGGUGGAUUAGUGGCGAACGGGUGAGUAACACGUGACUGUAACGGCUGCCUCUUGAUCUCUGGGAUAAGACGCUGAUUUGGAAGACUGGAGGUCUCAAUUUACCGCCGAUACUGGUACACGUCCACCGCAAUUGGUAGAGCUCCCCUGUUGGAAAUGAUUUAUCGGUCAUGGAUGGACUCGCGGCCUAUCAGCUUGUUGGUGAGGUAAUGGCUCACCAAGGCGACGACGGGUAGCCGGCCUGAGAGGGUGACCGGCCACACUGGGACUGAGACACGGCCCAGACUCCUACGGGAGGCAGCAGUGGGGAAUAUUGCACAAUGGGCGAAAGCCUGAUGCAGCGACGCCGCGUGAGGGAUGACGGCCUUCGGGUUGUAAACCUCUUUCAGUAGGGAAGAAGCGAAAGUGACGGUACCUGCAGAAGAAGCACCGGCUAACUACGUGCCAGCAGCCGCGGUAAUACGUAGGGUGCGAGCGUUAUCCGGAAUUAUUGGGCGUAAAGAGCUCGUAGGCGGUUUGUCGCGUCUGUCGUGAAAGUCCGGGGCUUAACCCCGGAUCUGCGGUGGGUACGGGCAGACUAGAGUGCAGUAGGGGAGACUGGAAUUCCUGGUGUAGCGGUGGAAUGCGCAGAUAUCAGGAGGAACACCGAUGGCGAAGGCAGGUCUCUGGGCUGUAACUGACGCUGAGGAGCGAAAGCAUGGGGAGCGAACAGGAUUAGAUACCCUGGUAGUCCAUGCCGUAAACGUUGGGCACUAGGUGUGGGGACCAUUCCACGGUUUCCGCGCCGCAGCUAACGCAUUAAGUGCCCCGCCUGGGGAGUACGGCCGCAAGGCUAAAACUCAAAGGAAUUGACGGGGGCCCGCACAAGCGGCGGAGCAUGCGGAUUAAUUCGAUGCAACGCGAAGAACCUUACCAAGGCUUGACAUGUUCUCGAUCGCCGUAGAAGAUACGGUUUCCCCUUUGGGGCGGGAUCACAGGUGGUGCAUGGUUGUCGUCAGCUCGUGUCGUGAGAUGUUGGGUUAAGUCCCGCAACGAGCGCAACCCUCGUUCCAUGUUGCCAGCACGUAAUGGUGGGGACUCAUGGGAGACUGCCGGGGUCAACUCGGAGGAAGAGUGGGGACGACGUCAAAUCAUCAUGCCCCUUAUGUCUUGGGCUUCACGCAUGCUACAAUGGCCGGUACAAUGGGUUGCGAUACUGUGAGGUGGAGCUAAUCCCAAAAAGCCGGUCUCGAAGUUCGCGAUUGGGGUCAGAUGCAACUCGUACCCCAUGAAGUCGGUAGAUUACGCCUAGUAAUGCGCAGAUCAGCUACACGCUGCUCCAUGAGUGUAAUACAGCUUCCCGGGCCUUGUACACACCGCCCGUCAAGUCACGAAAGUCGGUAACACCCGAAGCCGGUGGCCUAACCCUUGUGGGGGGAGCCGUCGAAGCUACC
rnacentral:rRNA from 1 species